rnacentral:rRNA from 1 species
UAACAGAGGGGGGCAAGCGUUGUUCGGAAUUACUGGGCGUAAAGGGCGCGUAGGCGGCCCGCUAAGUCGAACGUGAACUCCCCGAGCUCAACUCGGGAACUGCGUCCGAAUACUGGCGGGCUUGAAUCCGGGAGAGGGAUGCGGAAUUCCAGGUGUAGCGGUGAAAUGCGCAGAUAUCAGGAGGAACACCGGUGGCGAAGGCGGUUCUCUGGGCAUUACCUGACGCUGAGGAGCGAAAGUGUGGGGAGCGAACAGG